rnacentral:rRNA from 1 species
AUGAGUUGUUUUUUUUGUUGGGUGAAAUCAAGCUAAAAAAUUAUAAUUUCUUUCAAGAUUUAGAGGUGCUAAAAAAUUUAGAUGCGAAACCAGGAUUAGAUACCCUGUUAUUCUAAAUUAUUUUUUAACUGGGUAGUAAAAGUUGUUCUUCAAACCCAAAGAUUUUGGCGGCACUUUAUCCAAAUAGAGGAGCUUGCCCUGUAAUCGAUAACCCUCGUUUUAUCUUUCCUUUAUUUGUUUAGCUUGUAUACCGCCGUUGCCAGAUUACUUUUAUAGGAUGUUUUCAUAAAAGAGGUUUCUCUAACUUCAGGUCAAGGUGCAGUUUAUGUAGGGGUAGAGGUGAGCUACAAUUUUGAUUAGAAAAAUGAAAAUUCAAUUUAUAAGUUGGUGGAAGGUGGAUUUAUUAGUAAGGUAGUUUAAGUAUAA